GUCAGUGUGGUGUAAUGGUUUGCAUGUUGGAGUACAAUUCUGGAGACUAGGGUACGAUUCCCAGCUCAGCCA